CUACGGGGGGCUGCAGUGGGGAAUAUUGGACAAUGGGCGAAAGCCUGAUCCAGCCAUGCCGCGUGUGUGAAGAAGGCCUUCGGGUUGUAAAGCACUUUCAGUGGGGAAGAAAGCCUUGGGGCUAAUACCCUCGAGGAAGGACAUCACCCACAGAAGAAGCACCGGCUAACUCCGUGCCAGCAGCCGCGGUAAUACGGAGGGUGCGAGCGUUAAUCGGAAUUACUGGGCGUAAAGCGCGCGUAGGCGGUCUGAUAAGCCGGUUGUGAAAGCCCCGGGCUCAACCUGGGAACGGCAUCCGGAACUGUCAGGCUAGAGUGCAGGAGAGGAAGGUAGAAUUCCCGGUGUAGCGGUGAAAUGCGUAGAGAUCGGGAGGAAUACCAGUGGCGAAGGCGGCCUUCUGGACUGACACUGACGCUGAGGUGCGAAAGCGUGGGUAGCAAACAGGAUUAGAUACCCCUGUAGUC
rnacentral:rRNA from 1 species